rnacentral:rRNA from 1 species
GUCUACAGCCAUGCCACCCUGAACAAGCCCAGUGUCUGAUCUCGGAAGCUAAGUAGAGUCGGGCCUGGUUAGUACUUGGAUGGGAGACCACCUAGGAAGAGCAGGCGCAGUAGGCA